CUGGUGCAGUAACAGCCUGUCCCAACAGGGACCAACACUACGCACGGGUGUGGGGGUCGCGCAGCCUCGGCGCACUAAGAGCCUCUGGCGCUUUUCCAGCUCCCGGCAAUCGCUGUUUCUCCUGAGGCUCUAGACUCUACCCUCGAGGGGCCAGUGUUUGAAACCAGCGGGUGUGGGGAAGCGACACGUGAUGGCGCACACAUGUCCUGGAGCACAGAAUCUGGCCCCCGGGUUACCCUCACAACCCUUGCCUCGCGCUGAGCAAGCGCCAGUUAAUCGGCGGGGUCUCUACGGCGACCCUGCUUUCCAGCAUGGCCGCUGAACUGUUUUCCUAGACUUUCACUGAGUUGCUAGCAACAGUUACCAAGCAACUUACAAACAUACCUUUCCAAGCUGUAUUGAAUGGUUUCUUGCACCACGAAACAUUAAAAGAACUUUCUUCCCAUGUUUGUUCUGGCCAACAUCUCUUUGUGCCUCUGUGGGAUUUUGUAUAUGUGUGCAACUUCCACUGUACUCAAG